UUUUUUGCCUCCUAUUUUGUGUCCUCAUUCAGAGUUGACCAAUCAACCAAUGCAGAGAAAGAGGAGUAAACUCCUUUAACCCAAAUGAAAUCUUCUCACACAUCAUGUUUCCUUCACACUCAGCAGAUGAACUUGGUGGUCACUUUAACGUAGUGAUUCACACUGCAGGUUACUAAUAACUAGUGUGUGUGUGUAUGUUUGUGUCCCGCCUGUUGGCGUCCUGCAGGACAGAGGACAACUUUGCAGCCUUGGCGGCGUCUCUGAGCUUCCACUGAGUGAACAGUCCAGGUGGACCCGCCCGUCCCGUCCUGUGAGUGCCCACCAGGAUGAACACAUGCACCCCCUCCCUUCCUCCUCCUCCUCCUCGUCCUCCUCCACCUUGCCCAGUGCCAUCUUUGGGGGUGGAUAUAAAUAUCUGUGAAGGGACGAUGCCUUGUAACUCAUCCUCUGGUGGCCAUGUUGGAGGUCUUCAGCUCCAUGAACAGCUGUUAACAAGGGAUUAUGGGUACAAGGAGACAGAUGCAGUACAUCCAACCAUGAUACAAAAGGUAGCCGUCGCUUCAGCAGCAUCUCCCUGAGAAGUCUGAAGGUCAGCCCCAUAAAACCCUGCAGACAUUAGAGCUGAUGCUUUCCAUAUGGGAAGCGUCUUUGUAAGAAGCAUCUGUUCACAACUCGGCUGGACAGUGUCACCGUUCCUGCUCCAGUUUGAAACCCCGAGGACACUCGCAAACAUUCAGCCGACCACACAAACCUCCGUUGAGACACACGGGAGAGCAGAGAGCUGGAGAGAGAGACGAGAGCAUCAGCACUGAGAGACCAGGUGAAUUUGGAGGUGUCCGGGUCACAUAGGAGGCAAGGGCUGCUGGGACUGGAGACUCCCUCUGCGAAACACAUCCCGUCGAUGUUACACGUCUUCUCCUGGCAGCCAGAGACAGUAAAAAAAAAGGUCUGACCUGGGUCGUGGACGCUCAGAGCCAGAGGGACUCCACACUGGUGUCCGUGGUCGGGGCCGAAGCAGGGGAUGGGCACUGUGCUGUGGACGGUCACCUCGUGAUCUUUACUGUUCUCGGCUAUGUGGAGUGAGUCUGGAGAGAACUGAAGAGAAAGAGGGAACAAAGAGGCUUUGUCCAGCGUAGAAACCCUCACUUUCUUUUGGAGGAGAUCUGCUGUGGCUGGAGUUGACUCUGAAAGUCGACACACUGCAGGAGAACUGCAAGGAAAACAUCACACAUAUGC